rnacentral:rRNA from 1 species
CCUACGGGAGGCUGCAGUGGGGAAUUGUUCGCAAUGGGCGCAAGCCUGACGACGCAACGCCGCGUGGAGGAUGAAGGUCUUCGGAUUGUAAACUCCUGUUGAUCGGAAAGAACAGGCUUCGACCUAAUACGUCGGAGCACUGACGGUACCGGUUGAGGAAGCCACGGCUAACUCUGUGCCAGCAGCCGCGGUAAUACAGAGGUGGCAAGCGUUGUUCGGAAUUACUGGGCGUAAAGGGCGCGUAGGCGGCCUUCUAAGUCGGACGUGAAAUCCCCAGGCUUAACUUGGGAACUGCGUCCGAUACUGGAGGGCUCGAGUGCGGGAGAGGGAUGUGGAAUUCCAGGUGUAGCGGUGAAAUGCGUAGAUAUCUGGAGGAACACCGGUGGCGAAGGCGGCAUCCUGGACCGACACUGACGCUGAGGCGCGAAAGCCAGGGGAGC